UACGAAGGGGGCUAGCGUUGUUCGGAAUCACUGGGCGUAAGGCGCACGUAGGCGGAUUCUUAAGUCAGGGGUGAAAUCCCGAGGCUCAACCUCGGAACCGCCUUUGAUACUGGGGAUCUCGAGUCCGGGAGAGGUGAGUGGAAUUGCGAGUGUAGAGGUGAAAUUCGUAGAUAUUCGCAAGAACACCAGUGGCGAAGGCGGCUCACUGGCCCGGUACUGACGCUGAGGCACGAAAGCGUGGGGAGCAAACAGG
rnacentral:rRNA from 1 species